GAUGAACGCUAGCGGCAGGCCUAAUACAUGCAAGUCGAACGGUGGUAGCGAUACCAUAGUGGCGCACGGGUGCGUAACACGUAUGCAACCUACCUUAUACUUAGGGAUAGCCUCUGGAAACGGAGAUUAAUACCUAAUAGUACAUUGACUUGGCAUCGGGUUAAUGUUAAAGAUUUAUUGGUAUAAGAUGGGCAUGCGUCCAAUUAGUUAGUUGGUGAGGUAACGGCUCACCAAGACGAUGAUUGGUAGGGGAACUGAGAGGUUAAUCCCCCACACUGGCACUGGGUAACGGGCCAGACUCCUACGGGAGGCAGCAGUAGGGAAUAUUGGGCAAUGGAGGCAACUCUGACCCAGCCAUGCCGCGGGCAGGAUGAAGGCGUUAUGCGUUGUAAACUGCUUUUAUGUAGGAAGAAACAGACCUUGCGAGGUAGAUUGACGGUACUAUAUGAAUAAGCACCGGCUAACUCCGUGCCAGCCGCCGCAGUAAAAC
rnacentral:rRNA from 1 species